CACCAGACUCCUACGGGAGGCAGCAGUGAGGAAUAUUGGUCAAUGGGCGGGAGCCUGAACCAGCCAAGUCGCGUGAGGGAAGACGGUCCUACGGAUUGUAAACCUCUUUUGCCGGGGAGCAACGGGGUCCUUGCGAGGGCCCGAUGAGAGUACCCGGAGAAAAAGCAUCGGCUAACUCCGUGCCAGCAGCCGCGGUAAUACGGAGGAUGCGAGCGUUAUCCGGAUUUAUUGGGUUUAAAGGGUGCGUAGGCGGGCUGUUAAGUCAGCGGUAAAAUGUCGGGGCUCAACCCCGGCCUGCCGUUGAAACUGGCUUGCUAGAGUGGGCGAGAAGUAUGCGGAAUGCGUGGUGUAGCGGUGAAAUGCAUAGAUAUCACACAGAACUCCGAUUGCGAAGGCAGCAUACCGGCGCCCAACUGACGCUGAAGCACGAAAGCGUGGGUAUCGAACAGGAUUAGAUACCCUAGUA
rnacentral:rRNA from 1 species